UGGGGAAUUUUGCACAAUGGGGGAAACCCUGAUGCAGCGACGCCGCGUGAUUUAGAAGGCCUUCGGGUUGUAAAAAUCUUUUGUAUGGGAAGAAAAUGACAGUACCAUACGAAUAAGGACCGGCUAAUUACGUGCCAGCAGCCGCGGUAAUACGUAAGGUCCGAGCGUUGUCCGGGAUCAUUGGGCGUAAAGGGUACGUAGGCGGAUAAGCAAGUUAGAAGUGAAAUCCUAUAGCUCAACUAUAGUAAGCUUUUAAAACUGCUCAUCUUGAGGUAUGGAAGGGAAAGUGGAAUUCCUAGUGUAGCGGUGAAAUGCGCAGAUAAUAGGAGGAAUACCGGUGGCGAAGGCGACUUUCUGGCCAUAAACUGACGCUGAGGUACGAAAGCGUGGGUAGCAAACAGG
rnacentral:rRNA from 1 species